rnacentral:lncRNA from 1 species
GUGCACGACACACCCAUAAAUAAGACUCUACUAGACACGGCUUGUAGACUCCCUAGGACAGGACUGCUCUGAUACCACUUUUGUCACGACCCAAACCGAUGGGCCGCGACGGGCACACGGUACCUUACUCAACCGAGUACCAACGUAGCAUAUCUUUCUUAUUACAUUAUCAUAUACACAUCACAUACGGGCCUAAUAGGGCAACAUGAUCUUUUAUAAACUCAAAACAUAGGCCGACAAGGCCGUACAAUCUUUCACAUACACGACAUAUGUCUACAAGCCUCUAAGAAUACAUAAAUAUCAUAAUAGUCGGGAUAGAGUCCCGCCAUACCAAACAAUACACGUCUAAAUCAUACUAACCAAACAAGCAACUCCGAAGCAAAUGGAGCGCACCAACAUCUUCUGCUGAGCUGAUAGCCUACUUGGAGGGCUCUCGACCUGUCUAUCGGGACCUGCGGGCAUGAAACGCAGCGUCCUCAGGCAAAAAGGACGUCAGUACAAAUAAUGUACCGAGUAUGUAAGGCAUAUAAAUAAGUACAUAAGAGACAUGGAAGAAAUAUAGAGUACAUGACUCAUCCUGUAAGUCUGAAUAACUUUGUAAAUCAUAAAUUACUUUUAGCGUCAUGCAUAUGCAUAUGAAUGUCAUGUCAUGCAUAGGUACACAUUUCAUAACAUCAUCAGCCUCUAAGGGCAUCCCAUCAUAUAAUAUCGGCCACUGUGGGCAAAGUAAUAAUCGUAUACCAGCUGAUCAGGUGAUGGUGCGUAUAUAAUGCCAUAACUAUUCCCAUAUCCCAUAUACAUAUAUAUACAUACAUAUAUACGCGUAUAUAAUGCCGUUUGAAUACAUACAUACAUAUGCGUAUAUAACGCCAUUUGAAUACAUACCCAUAUAUGCGUAUAUAACGUCGUUUGAAUCAUAUUUCAGCCACUGUGGGCAACAUCAUCACCAUAUACCAGCUGAUCAGGUGGUGGUGUGUAUAUAACGCCAUAACCUUUUCCCAUAUCCCGUAUACAUAUAUACGCGUAUAUAAUGCAAUCUGGUCAUGGGUCAAUGCACAUGAAUACAAUGCAUAAACAGUACGUCAAUAAAAUCAUUCGGAAUGUCAUAAGACCAUCUUGACUUUGAGUAAUAUCAUAAAGUAAACUCUUUUCAACUUUCGUAUUUUUCUGAGACCCAUGAACAAAUGAUAAGAUAUUAUAACACAUGAAAAUUCAAGAACAUAGAUGUCUCGAAUACUUCUAUGAAUAGAGUCAUUCAUGGAAUUAGUGCAUUUGCACGUUGCCAAAAGAAAGAAGGAAUAGUCUUAACAUACCUGGCCACAAACUGAUUGGCUUUCUAUUUGAAGAACCUACAUCAAUGCAUAUAUAGCUAUUCAAAGGGUAACAUAAAUGCGCACUGUAAGUUUGCAAUAGGUCAAGCGUUCUUUCAUACAGUAGGUUUCUACCGUUGGUCUCUUUCAGGUAACCCCUUUUCACACAAUUUUUGUAAGUGAACCUUCGGCAAUUUAAGCUUUUACCUUCAUCAUAAGAAAA